rnacentral:rRNA from 1 species
GGGAAGCUUGCUUCUCGCUGACGAGCGGCGGACGGGUGAGUAAUGUAUGGGGAUCUGCCCGAUAGAGGGGGAUAACUACUGGAAACGGUAGCUAAUACCGCAUAAUCUCUCAGGAGCAAAGCAGGGGAACUUCSGUCCUUGCGCUAUCGGAUGAACCCMUAUGGGAUUAGCUAGUAGGKGAGGUAAUGGCUCACCUAGGCGACGAUCCCUAGCUGGKCUGAGAGGAUGAUCAGCCMCMCUGGGACUGARACACGGCCCAGACUCCUACGGGAGGCAGCAGUGGGGAAUAUUGCACAAUGGGCGCAAGCCUGAUGCAGCCAUGCCGCGUGUAUGAAGAAGGCCCUAGGGUUGUAAAGUACUUUCAGUCGGGAGGAAGGCGUUGAUGCUWAUAUCAUCARCGAUUGACGUUACCGACAGAAGAAGCACCGGCUAACUCCGUGCCAGCAGCCGCGGUAAUACGGAGGGUGCAAGCGUUAAUCGGAAUUACUGGGCGUAAAGCGCACGCAGGCGGUUGAUUAAGUUAGAUGUGAAAUCCCCGGGCUUAACCUGGGAAUGGCAUCUAAGACUGGUCAGCUAGAGUCUUGUAGAGGGGGGUAGAAUUUCCAUGUGUAGCGGUGAAAUGCGUAGAGAUGUGGAGGAAUUACCGGUGGCGAAGGCGGCCCCCUGGACARAGACUGACKSUCAGUGCGAAGCGUGGGGAGCAAAC